rnacentral:rRNA from 1 species
GACGAACUGUUCUAACGUUAUUCGGAAUCACUGGGCUUAAAGGGCGCGUAGGCUGUUUGUUAAGCGGGGUCUGAAAUCCCUCGGCUCAACCGAGGAACUGGGCUUCGAACUGGCAGACUAGAGUGAAGUAGGGGUAAGCGGAACUUGCGGUGGAGCGGUGAAAUGCUUUGAUAUCGCAAGGAACACCGGCGGCGAAGGCGGCUUACUGGGCUUCAACUGACGCUUAAGCGCGAAAGCUAGGGUAGCGAACGGGAUUAGAUACCUCGGUAGUCCCUGAGCGGGCU